rnacentral:rRNA from 1 species
UAAGAGAUUAGAGUUUUCGGUUCGGCCGGACGAAACACAGGUGCUGCAUGGCUGUCGUCAGCUCGUGUCGUGAGAUGUUGGGUUAAGUCCCGCAACGAGCGCAACCCUCACUUUUAGUUGCCAUCAUUAAGUUGGGCACUCUGAAAGAACUGCCAGUGAUAAGCUGGAGGAAGGUGGGGAUGACGUCAAGUCCUCAUGGCCCUUACGUGUUGGGCUACACACGUGCUACAAUGGUAUCUACAACAGGAAGCAAGACUGCGAGGUCAAGCAAAUCCUUAAAAGAUACCUCAGUUCGGAUUGCACUCUGCAACUCGAGUGCAUGAAGCUGGAAUUACUAGUAAUCGUGGAUCAGCGUGCCACGGUGAAUGCGUUCCCGGGUCUUGUACACACCGCCCGUCACACCAUGGGAGUUGGUUCUACCUUAAGGCAAGGUUUCAAACCCUUGACCACGGUAUAGUCAGCGACUGGGGUGAAGUCGUAACAAGGUA